CAAAGAGAACACAAUUUCAGGGCAAGCUUGUGGAGUUUUGCAGGGAUUUGAAUCUUAUGCUGAAGGUUCUGUUCUGACAUCUUUGAGGUUAUAACUGAAGAAACUUCAAGUUUGAGCUGUUGAGAUUCGAUAGUCAUGAGGAAAGAGGAGACUUCAAAACAAAACAUGAAAGGAAAAGGAAAACAAUAUGUGCAGGCUGGAACACUUACAUCUAUGGCUUACAAAAGGGUUUCUUCACUGAGAUCAAAAUAGAAUGUUCAAUCUAUUCUGCCUCGAAAUUCCUCUACUCUUGUGGCAUAAACUGUACAAAAAGAAUUGCGACAAGUGCCUCAGAAUUCUUGUACUUUGAAAGCACAGUCUAAAAAGGAUCAAAUGCCUCAGAGUUGUUCCACUCUAAAAGCAAGAUCUAUGCAGAAAUCACAGCAACAUGUGCCUCCGAGUUUUUCCACUUUAAAAGCACAAGUUGUGCAGGAACAAGUGCAACCAACACCUAUGAAUUCUUCCACUGUAGUAGCACAAGUUUCAGAGAACUAGUUGCAACAUGUGCCAAGAGAAUCUCCUACUGUAGAGGCACACGAUAUACAGUACCAAGUGCAACAAGAGACACAGAAUUCGAAAGAAAAUGACCUAUCAGGAGA